AACGAACGCUGGCGGCAUGCCUAACACAUGCAAGUCGAACGAGACCUUCGGGUCUAGUGGCGCACGGGGGCGUAACGCGGGGGAACCUGCCCUUAGGUUCGGAAUAACUCCCCGAAAGGGGUGCUAAUACCGGAUAAUGUCUUCGGACCAAAGAUUUAUCGCCUUUGGAUGGGCCCGCGUUGGAUUAGCUAGUUGGUAGGGUAAAAGCCUACCAAGGCGACGAUCCAUAGCUGGUCUGAGAGGAUGCUCAGCCACACUGGGACUGAGACACGGCCCAGACUCCUACGGGAGGCAGCAGUGGGGAAUAUUGGACAAUGGGCGAAAGCCUGAUCCAGCAAUGCCGCGUGAGUGAUGAAGGCCUUAGGGUUGUAAAGCUCUUUUACCCGGGAUGAUAAUGACAGUACCGGGAGAAUAAGCUCCGGCUAACUCCGUG
rnacentral:rRNA from 1 species